CGAGCCCGGAGAGCCUGGGCUGCAGGGGAGGGCGCCACAGGUGAGGACACAGCUCCGUGGGCACCAGGCAAGGUCCCAAAGCAGAUCCGCAGCCGGUCAGAGGAGCGCACAUGGCUCCACGAGAUGUGACUAUUCCUAUCUGCUGGAGAACAGCCGUCCAGGGCCACCCCACGUCCUUCAAGGGGACUCUGAGACACUCUGGGCCGGUGGGACCUUCAGCAGCAUCUGGACUUUGGCUGCCUCACAGGCGGAUGUCACCCACCCCUUGGGACUUCGCCAUGGGUCGCUAGCCCAGACCCUCCCCUUGGUUCCGGUGGUUCCAUUUCUGCCCCUUUGCUGCUGGCCCCCUUCUGAGGAUGCCCGUGCAUCUCCAG
ensembl:lncRNA TSPEAR-AS1 TSPEAR antisense RNA 1